CAUUUCCAAGGGUUCAGAUCAUAUCUCUGUGGCCCUGAGUGCAUUUCACCCUCACUGAAGUUUCUCCCAAUAAAUCUCUCGCAUGUCGAAUCCCAUCCUGUAAUCCACUCCUUAAAGACCUGAAUUAACCCAAGAGAUGGUAGGGCUAUUUAUUUGUCCUCAACAAAGGUACAGGUCAACUUUGAACGGUGCGGGAACUGGAAACCCAAGAAAAUGUGUAAGAAGACAACCUCAAGCACUUACCUCGGCAGGUGUCAGCCAUUUUUAAGCACGUCUGGAUGUGGUCAGUUACACAGCUGGUUAGUGCAGAGUAAGAAGCCUCUACACCCGGACCCCACGCGGAUCAGAGAACUUCCCGCAGAUGCACAGGGUGCCUGCCCCAGAAGGCAGGGCAGUCCAGGUGGAGGCAGGGGAUCCACUGCAUUCCCUUCAUAGGAGGCCCCUUGAGAAGACUGGAGAAAAGUUGAGAGCUCGCUGGGCCAGGCCCAGCCACCCCUCUGGCUCUCGGGGCUUUGUCUCCACUUUGCGAUUUCAGUAAAAGGGCACACGCUUCACCCAAUUUAUUCUCAA